AAGUCGUAACAAGGUUUCCGUAGGUGAACCUGCGGAAGGAUCAUUAAAGAAUUGCCCCAUUUUUUGAAAUGGGUUCUAUUCCCAAACCGUGUAUACAUACCUUUGUUGCUUUGGCAAGCCGUCCUUCGGGCGCAGCUUCGGCUGAGAGCGCUUGCCAGAGGACCCCAACUCUUUUGUUUAGUGAUGUCUGAGUACUAUAUAAUAGUUAAAACUUUCAACAACGGAUCUCUUGGUUCUG
rnacentral:misc_RNA from 1 species